GAACAGGCUAUCAACCCCAACCCCAAUUCAGAUGACAAAACAGGAAGGGUGAUUAUCUAAAGAGACGCCAGACAGCAAACAAAGCUUUUUUCCGGACACCUUGCUGUCCUUGCCAGAAGUCAUUCCUUGAUGCCCGUUGCCUGGCAGAGGUUAGGGCUGAACAGACCAUGCAUUUAACCCAGGUGUUCUAACUGAACUAGCUGCAAACACUUUCUGAUUUGUCUACUGUAUAUGGGACUCAGUACUGGGAAAAAGGAAGUAAGCCUGCUAAAUUACCCUUGCCUUCAAAUUGCUCAUCACCCGGAUGAGGAAGAUAAAACUUUUA
rnacentral:lncRNA from 1 species